AAUAAAGGAAUACUGAAUGGUUUUCCGUGCAUGAUUGUGUGAUCCAUGCACGAGGGAUGUCGCGAGACUUUCAGAAAGCGUAAAAAUACUCAAGCCCCAGACGAGUGUAUUUUUAUGCUUUCCAAAAGUCGAGCAACAUCCCAAGUGCAUGGAUCACGCUAUCUUGCUUGGAAAACCAUUUGGUAAUUGUUUUAUA
rnacentral:miRNA from 1 species